rnacentral:misc_RNA from 1 species
CCUUUCCGAAUCUAUGGACGCAAAGGAAUUUGUUCAGCGCUUUCCUAAGUCGGCCCUCAGCGCCAAACUUGUCUUGUCUCUGGAGAGCACAGAGCAACGGGAUUUCGUUGUGUCGCUCAUCGAUGACGCCGUUUACUGUGACUCUUGGGAGGCUUACUUUGACUUCGCCGAGCGCAAUAAUGUUGCCAUUACGGAGGAUGUGGCGCUGGCUGCCGUGCAGGCAGUCGGAUUAGAUCCACUCAGCGCCCCUUUAUGGGUAAGGGCUGCGGCCUGCUGCGAAUCAGUGGAGUCGCAAAAGAGCCUGUAUGAGUUUGGCCUCUCGGUUCCGCUACAUGGCUGGCAGCGCCUCUUCGAGGAAUAUCGCCGCUGCACUGACGGCCAUGAGGACGAUCACGUGCUUUCCGAAACGGAAUGUUGGUGUGUAUCCAAUGUGUUGACGGCGGAGAAGUGGCCGGACCGUUACGCCAAGCUGGACACGGACGCCGAGGUAGAGGAGGUCCGGCAAGCUUGGCUGGACCUUUUUUCUUGUAUGCUGACGAGUCUGACGGCCACGGUGAUUGCUAGGGACUUACAGUUGCGGCGGAUCGAGCUAGCGAUGCGUCAAAUGUGCACUCAGUUGCCAGGGGAUGACUCAUGCUGGUACCAGCUUGCCCUCUUUCAACUUCGCAUCUUAGAGGACGCCGAGGCGGCUAGGAAGACUGUUGCGAGCGGGAUAGCGGCAGCAGGGCCAUCGUUCGCCUUAGAAAACAUUGCCUCCGUCGUAGAUGGUGUUGUUGGUGUCAGCGACAUCAGUGACACCUCGAGCGCUGAUGUGCUCACUGCAACAAAAACGUUGAUGCAGCAGCGCCGUGCUGCGGAGGAAUUGGCGUUAGAUGGGGUUACAAAAGACCGGUUGCGUGCUUUGCGCUCUGUUGGAAAGGCCGCCGCUCAGCAGGGGCUUAGCGACUGGAAGAUCUUCUCGCAGUGGCGAUGUGCGGAAGACAUGGCAGCCCACGACACCAAAAUGGCUGCCAAGGUGCUGGAGAACGGCAUGAUCUGCUGCUCACACUCCCCCACCGAUGCCCUCCUGUUGGGUAGCGAGGCGGCACAGUACCACCUCUUGCAGCGUCACGAGCGCGAAGCGCUGGGCUACGCGGAGCAGCAGAUUGAGCAGCAGGCCGGGCUGCAUCACCGCGGCAAAAUCAUGGCAUCGUGGAACAGUCUUGUACGGAUUGAGAGCCUUCUUGGUCUGAGUUUUUCGAAGGCGGCGAAGCGGCGUGCAGAGCUGUUUCCGCAGAAUCGCAUUUCCAUGUUCAUGGAGAACUGCAGGGUCGGCGACUACUUGCCGUGCGACAAGAGUACCUUCCAGUGGGCCCGCUUCGUGGAGGACUAUCAGGUGGACAAGGCAUCCGUUGAGGAGACACCUUUUCAUGGAAUCGCGCCCCCGCGAAACAAGGCGGUGGCGGUAAAGCGUUUGCAGCAAGUGGAAUGCGAAACACCUGACGACUCGCAGUGGGAGCCGUUUGUGCCGCCGCUCAGCUGCUUGCCUUCUCGCGAGGAAGAGAAUCCUGAUGACGUCACCGGAGUCCGAGAACUGCGCGGAAAGCUCGUAUAUCGCGUGAAGGUGGACGCGCGCACAGCGGCACGAUGCCAGAGAGAGAAAGCAACGAGGCAGCGCUCGAAGACGGGAGAAAAAGCUGUCGAGCGCGGCGGCGCUCUCGGUUCGCUGAUGCGACGUGUGUGUCCAGUGAAUCUUACGGUUGGGCAGACGAAGCGAUUGCAGUCGAUCUCGGCAGAUUGGGUUGUUCACGUGCUAACCGUUUCGGAGCUAGAUUUGGAGCGCACGCUCAAGGAGCGCGCCGAGCGGCAGGAGAGUCACGGCAUGUCUGUUUAAGAAGGGAAACUCAAGAGGAAGGGGCACUGGGUGCUGACGCAGAGCAGGGACGCUGCGUAAGGGAUCUGGGCGCCGCCGUUCCUCGUUUAUCCGUGAAGGUAUAGAGCUCGCUAGGUGGGCAUCCUCAUGUGAUGAUCAUCUUAUGCAACUGUGCAGUGAGGCAGUCGACCAAAAAGCAAUGAUGCAAAAGAAAGCAGACGAGCAAAAGCCCCCAAGUAGGCCGAGGCACGCGAGGCCCGCUGAAUAAGUCAUGUUAUCGGUACCAAAGCUUGCUGGCUCUCGUUCUACCCCUCUCUGUGCCUUGCGCUGAGUUCUUGCAACGGGUUCUUUUCUCUUUCCUCCUCUUCCGCCUUCUGCUGUCAUAUGUCGUUUUCUCUUGCCGCGCCUCGCGCACCAAUGCGGAUGCGUUGCGUCUGCCAAG